rnacentral:lncRNA from 1 species
UGUGGCACCCCGGCUCAGAGAAACCGGGACACCCCGUAUUCCAGCCCAGAAAUCGAGAUGAAGUCUUCUGGAAUACGGCACUACUUAGCAUAGAACAAACCAGCUCUCUAUUACAGCACGAAUAUGAAUACAAGGUCUCCGCUAUUACAAUGAAUAACACCGGCACGACUACACUACGCCAACCACAGUUGCUCUAUGCAAGCAGCAUAACAACUCGAGGCAGCGGAACCUCUACUGGCAGCGGAACAAUGAACGACGAUGAUGGAUUCCAAUCCGCAGGGACUCUGGCUGGAACAUUUAUCCUAGCUCGCGAACACAAGAACUACACCAAACAAGCAAGCAAUCCAGGCAUGACCUGCAAACUAGCAUGACAUGCCAGGUCAGUACAUUGAAUGUACUUGCAAGCUCACAAUAACCAAAAGCAAUCAAGACAGACAACAACAUGGUGAUUACAGGUUAACAAGGAUUAACAUGAUACUAUCAGAUCAAUCCUAGCAUGAACAAGAUGAACAUGACACAGCUAGCACAGUAUGAGCAUGGCAUGAACUUAUGAACAUGAUGAUACUAGCAUGCAACAGGUUAACAUUAUCAUGCACCAACUUACGUUGCUCGGGUUAACUCGUAACCAACACAUGCAUCAACUUACCAACAUCGGUAUCCACGAUACCUCCAUGAUCACAACCAAUCUCUUUCUCAUCCAUGAAUCGGGGUUAUUAUUUAAGAAAGUUAUUAUUAUAGUUGGCUCAUAGUGUGACCGACUACGAACUGGGCCCUUAUCCGCGGGCGCGGCUAUCGAUAGAUUUAACACACACACUCUUCAGAGGUAGCUCACUUUACCCACACCACGAAACCCAUGGCCUCGCACUCCCAUUCGGGUGGACCAACGGUGUUCCGACAAACCGAUCUACUGCCAUGACACUCUCCCGGCCACUCCGACCAACUCCCCUUUGGUCUAAGUCAUGGGUGGCCCGUGCCUACCAAAGGCAUCAACGGCCACCGUCGUGGAAAAACAUAAACAGUCCCAAACGGGGACAAUGGAUCCAUACUCAACAAUGGGCACACAAGGCUUAUGCCGUCCUACCCGGCCAAGGUAGCGCCUGUGCAUAACCUUCCCUCAUUGGAGGCACCGGCGAGAGGCAUGAUAAUAGACCACAUUAGGGCCUUCCCAUAAAAGCAAAUGUGGUUGCACUGGUCAGCUCGAUUCAGUGGCACCAUGACUCAGCCAACAGUUUUUCAAGUUCAUUAUUAUCCGGUUAAACUUGAAUGCAAUAAGCUGAGCCAUAAUACGAAAACAUGAUGCAACUACAAUGCAUGGUCAUGAUAUCAACAUGGGGGUGCAACAAAAUCAUCGAGCAUAACCACAAUGAAUCAUAUAUCUGAAUGAGCAUGGCAUACUGACGAGCAUGAAAAACACAAGCAUAACUCUACAUAGGCAUAACAUGACUACUGGCAUCAUAAGUAAACAUCAUGCAACAACAUAACAAGAAUACUACAAAGUGAGCAUGCAACCAUCUAGAUGCAACGGAACAAACAUAGCAACGGUACGGAAUAACAAACUAAGCAUGCAUCCCAAGAACAUCAGUGCUACCAGCAUGUAUUACUACUACCAAACAUGACUUACGAACAUGAUACUAGCAAGUAGUACAAGAUAACAAAAUGCAUCGGAACAUAGCAUGAAAGUGAACAAGAAUCCACGAGCAUAACCGAAACAACGAUAGUAGUAGCAAACAAGCAGGCAGAUAACGACAAACUUUUAUUAAAUAUUCAAGUUGAAAACCAAGGCUACUGCAUGACUAUCAUGCAAGUGGCUAGUGUGGCUUGCUUGGGGUGACGGAGACUCCGGGAAGAAUCGCGGUGAAGCCGCGGAACGAAACGCCGGACGGGGCAUAACCACAGUGUGAACACCUUGUGAAAAUGUUACCAACAGAAAGAUCUCGACGAGACGAAGAAGUGAGCAUUGGUUUCACCUCAAUCGGAGUUACGGUUGCGGAGUUAUGAGAGGUGGAAGCUCAGGGACCUAUCUGUGAAUAUUUUCAUCACCAGCAAGUCCCUGGCGGCUGAAACAGAAAGCGCAUAAAGCGAAAUACGUUUCCGGUAUAGAGGAAACGUAUUCUGGGUCGCAGUAGGACCAGAGUACGCUUUCAGACAUGUGAAAGUGUAUCCUUUAGCGAAAACGUAUAUCAAGAAAACGUCUCCGCUUAAAAACACCUGGGCCCGGGCUUGUGCCACUUACCGGUGGGGUCCGCGGGCAGGGGGAGG